GAGAAGAACGUAGCGAAAUGCGAUAAGUAAUGUGAAUUGCAGAAUUCAGUGAAUCAUCGAAUCUUUGAACGCACAUUGCGCCCCUUGGUAUUCCGAGGGGCAUGCCUGUUCGAGCGUCAUUAUAACCCCUCAAGCUCAGCUUGGUGUUGGGGCCUGCUGCACUGGCAGCCCUUAAAAUCAGUGGCGGCGCCAUCUGGCUCUAAGCGUAGUAAUUCUUCUCGCUAUGGAGUCCUGGUGGAUGCUUGCCAUCAACCCCCAAUUUUUCUAUGGUUGACCUCGGAUCAGGUAGGGAUACCCGCUGAACUUAAGCAUAUCAAUAAGCGGAGGA
rnacentral:misc_RNA from 1 species